AGCUUUGUCCCAGGCUCCCUCUGCAGAAGCAAAUAGCAGGGGAGAGGUUGUCACUAGUCUGAAGGUCACCACAGGCUUGGAAAAUGCCAAGCCUUUCCUGGAGGCCAGGGACAGGUACUAGGCAAGCUUACCACCUCACAACACAGGAUACCCCAUGGGAGUAUUGGGUUGAGAGCCACUGCCAUAGAUGAAGGGAACACUGUGAAGACAGAAGGCAGGUAACCUGAGAGCUGCUGGAAGGUGUGUCUGUGGUGAGUGGCUCCUGGGCUGCUGGAGCGACUCCAGGGCUAGAUACCGCGGUUAUGUGAAUCUACACCACAGAAAACACAGAACAUACAAAUAGAGCGUGCCUGAAGACUGAAGGAUAGGAGCAGCAUCUACAAGGUGUCUGAUGAUCUUCAGCCAAUCAAAGUUUUCAUUUCAUCAAGGUCCUUGUGUAGCUAAGGCUGGAGUUAAACUUGCUAAACUGAAGACGACCUUGACCUUCUGAUCCUUAAUGAAGGGAUUACAACCAGGCCACACUCCAGUUUACUGAUUUGAAUAUCAUUCCUCUGGCAGUCUGUACUGCUUCUAUCUGCCACCUGCUUCUGGACAUAAAGUACAAGUUCAUCACAGGACCCGUGGCCAGCCAACUAGAGACAGACACUGCUGAAGCUGUGGACCAAAAUAAACAUUUCAUCUUUCUAA